CCUACGGGAGGCAGCAGUGAGGAAUAUUGGUCAAUGGGCGAGAGCCUGAACCAGCCAAGUCGCGUGAGGGAGUACUGCCCUAUGGGUUGUAAACCUCUUUUGUCGGGGAGCAAAAGCCGGACGUGUCCGGCUGUGAGAGUACCCGAAGAAAAAGCAUCGGCUAACUCCGUGCCAGCAGCCGCGGUAAUACGGAGGAUGCGAGCGUUAUCCGGCUUUAUUGGGUUUAAAGGGUGCGCAGGCGGAUUUUUAAGUCAGCGGUAAAAUCGUGGGGCUCAACCCCAUCCAGCCGUUGAAACUGGGGAUCUAGAGUGUGCGAGAGGUAUGCGGAAUGCGUGGGGUAGCGGUGAAAUGCAUAGAUAUCACGCAGAACCCCGAUUGCGAAGGCAGCAUACCGGUGCACAACUGACGCUCAGGCACGAAAGCGUGGGUAUCGAACAGGAUUAGAUACCCCAGUAGUC
rnacentral:rRNA from 1 species